GAUGAACGCUGGCGGCGUGCUUAACACAUGCAAGUCGAACGGAAAGGCCCAAGCUUGCUUGGGUGCUCGAGUGGCGAACGGGUGAGUAACACGUGGGUGAUCUGCCCUGCACUUUGGGAUAAGCCUGGGAAACUGGGUCUAAUACCGGAUAGGACCAUCGUUUAGUGUCGGUGGUGGAAAGUUUUUCGGUGUGGGAUGAGCUCACGGCCUAUCAGCUUGUUGGUGGGGUAAUGGCCUACCAAGGCGUCGACGGGUAGCCGGCCUGAGAGGGUGUACGGCCACAUUGGGACUGAGAUACGGCCCAGACUCCUACGGGAGGCAGCAGUGGGGAAUAUUGCACAAUGGGCGCAAGCCUGAUGCAGCGACGCCGCGUGGGGGAUGACGGCCUUCGGGUUGUAAACUCCUUUCGCCAAGGACGAAGCGUUUUGUGACGGUACUUGGAGAAGAAGCACCGGCUAACUACGUG
rnacentral:rRNA from 1 species